rnacentral:lncRNA from 1 species
GGGACCCUCAGUGGGAAAUUGCUGAAAGGAUUUAAUCUGGCUUUGUCUUUUUCCGUAUUUAUUUACCAGACUUUAUCUGCUGGUGAAAUCACUGCUCUAAGAGUUAAUCUCCUUUGAACACUUAGUCAAAAUCUAGCCAGCUAAGAGAGUGCUACGGGCUGACAUGGAAACCCGCUGGAUACGGAAUCUAGGCUGAAUUCUUCUGGACUGCCUUAAUCAUUAAUUCAUCUGCUUGAGGAUUCGUUCAUCUUUAUUUCACCAUUACCUAAUGAGGAUAAUGGAGACCAUCAAAAUCUAAAGGCUAAUCAUUUUUUUAAAGUACGACAAGGAGGUGGUAAAUAUCCAUACAGGGACCUCCAGCUCUAAGACAUGGAAGGGAAUGAAUCCGUU